rnacentral:rRNA from 1 species
GACGAACGCUGGCGGCGGGCUUAACACAUGCAAGUCGCGGGGCAGGACCCGGGUUGCUGGGUACUCGAGUUGCCAACGGGUGCGUAACAGGUUGAUGCUCUGCCCUGCACUUCGGGAUCAGCCGGUAACCCUGCGUCUGAUGCCGGAAAGGCGCCAUUUUUCCUUUGACGGCUUCCAAGUUGUUUGGGUGUAGGAUGAGCUCGCGGCCUGUCAGCUUGUUGGUGGGGUAAUGGCCUACCAAGGCGGCGACGGGUAGCCGGCCUGAGAGGGUGGACGGCGACACUGGGCAUGAGAUACGGCGCAGACGCCGACGGGAGGAAGCAGUGGGGAAUGUUGCACAAUGGGCGCAAGCCUGAUGCAGCGACGCCGCGUGUGGGAUGACGAACUUCGGGUUGUAAGCGGCUUUCGCUAGCGACGAAGCUUUUUGUGACGGUACCUAGAGAAGAAGCACCGGCUAACUACGUG